AGCUUGCAGAAACAUUGCAAGGAAAAUGAAGUUCCCUAUUUUCAUAGCAGAUGCAUUCACAGCAAAAGCAUUUCGUGGGAAUCCUGCUGCUGUUUGCCUCCUAGAAAAUAAAUUGGAUGAAGACAUGCAUCAAAAAAUUGCAAAGGAAAUGAAUCUCUCUGAAACUGCUUUUAUCCAAAAACUACACCCAACUGACAACUUUACACAAAGUUCCUGCUUUGGAUUAAGGUGGUUUACACCAGUGAGUGAGGUUCCUCUCUGUGGCCACGCUACCCUGGCUUCUGCAGCUGUGCUGUUUCACAAAAUAAAAAACAUGAAUAGCACCCUAACGUUUGUCACUCUGAGUGGGGAACUAAAGGCCAGAAGAGAAGAGGAUGGUAUCGUCCUGGACCUGCCUCUUUAUCCAGCCCAUCCCCAGGACUUCCAUGAAGUGGAGGAUUUGAUAAAGACUGCCAUAGGUGACACACUGGUUCAGGACAUCCGCUAUUCCCCAGAUACCCGAAAGCUCCUGGUCCGGCUCAGUGAUACUUACAACAGGUCAUUUCUGGAGAGCCUGAAAGUGAACACACAGAAUCUGCCGCAAGUGGAAAACACGGGGAAGGUGAAAGGACUCAUUCUCACCAUCAAGGGAGAGCCUGAUGGGCAGACUCAAGCGUUUGACUUUUACUCCAGAUAUUUCACUCCAUGGUUUGGUGUGGCCGAAGACCCUGUAACAGGGUCUGCACAUACUGUUCUCAGCAGCUACUGGUCCCAGCAACUGGGGAAGAAAGUCAUGCACGCCUUUCAGUGUUCCAGCCGGGGAGGAGAAUUGAAGAUUUCCCUGCGUCCUGAUGGACGAGUUGACAUCAAGGGACGUGCUGCUCUUGUUUUAGAGGGCACGCUGACGGCCUAGACGCGCUUGUGCGCGAUGCUGCGAUCUUGACUUACUAUUUUCCACGUAGAAAGAAAUAGACCAUUGAUUGAUGGGAUGGGACAUACAGCAGAGACAGUCAAAACCACAAACCGGUCCUUCGUGUCAGAGAGCAUCAGGUGAGUGCGAGACUGAACUCUUGGAGACCAUGAACACCCUGUGUAUUGAAUCACAAUAAGAGGAGUCACAGCCUUGUACUAUUGGAGCAGAGAAAGAAAUGAGACUGUCCAGCUGAAGGGGCAUCAGGUAAACUCAAGGAUAGCUAAAGAAUGGGAAAAUUGUUUUCAAUUUUUAGCUCAAGAUAGAUUAAAUCUGUUUCCUGACUUUUUGUUGUUAUGAUGAUUUGUUUGGAGUUAUGCAGCAUCAUUGUGAAUAGUCAAGGAGGUACUGGCCAGCUUCCUCCAAGGAAGCCAAGGUGGCAAGGUGCUACCUCUCUCUGCACUUCAGGGGGCAGGCAUGCUACUCGGGCUCCACCAAAUCAGAAACCAUCUCCUGGGAAUGUGGAUCCUGAACAAGGGAAGCAGUACUGUAGAGGUGGCUAGAGACCUAUACUAUAGAGAUCCAUACUAUAGCUCAUUCUAGCUUGUUCUAACAUUAUUAGCUGUUCCACCAUUUAAUCAAUCCCCUCAGUCUCCUACUUUUUUUUUUUUUUAUUUUUGGCUAUGCCUCGCGGCAUGCAACAUCUUAUUUCCCUGACCAGGGAUCAAACCCGUGCCCCCUGCAGUGGAAUCACGGAGUCUUAACCACUGGACCGCCAGGGAAUUCCCCCCUCAGUCUCCUAUUGAAGACCUUUGAUUUUGUUUCCUGAUGCUUUACCAUUAGAAGCUGUACUGCAGAGAGCAACUUUAUUUUAUUUUCUAUGUCCUGGUACUUUUAUUUCUUUAGGAUAGACUUGAGAGAGAGAGAUUUCUGGUUUGAAUAAUGUGUGUAUUUUGGGGGACUUCCCUGGUAGUCCAGUGGUUAAGACUCCACGCUUCCAAUGCAGGCGGCAUGGGUUCGAUCCCUGGUGGGGGAAAUAAGAUCUCACAUGCAAAAAAAAGAGGAAUGUGUGUGUUUUUCAUUUUAGUAGCUAUUGUCAGAUACCCUUCCAAAAGAGACUGUAGCUGUUCAUGUUGCCAGAGCACUGUAUCCUUUUCACCACAACCCACCAGCAGAAUUUUGCUAAUCUGAUAAGUGAUAGCUUAGUAUUACUUACUUUGCAUUUACCUGAUUAGGAAAGUUAAACAUCUUUUGUUACAGUAACUUGCUACUUAUAUUUUAUCUUCUCUGAACUCUCUAUUCAUGUAUUUUGCUUAUUUUCUAUUGCAUUUUGUUACCAGUUUCUUUAUUAUGAACUUUUAUCUGUCAUAGGUGUGGAAAUUUUCUCCCCAAUGUUUUGAUGUAUAUUAAGGCAGUCAUUAUUAUCCUUGUUUUAUAGAUGAGGAAAGUAAUGCUCAGAAAGGAAAUUGACUUGCUUAAGUUUACUCUGCUAGUGAGAUGGUUAGAUCUGGAUUCAAAACCAGGCUAUGUGAUGACAAAUCUAGUGCCCUUGCUAUACUUCAAGGAAUAUCCCUAGAGGGUUGCUUUGGUUACUGUCCUGUAUAAUGUUACCCCCAAAUUUACAGGUGUGCUCGGAGAUUCUGUGGGUCCCCAGGAAUUUGCACAGGACAUAUUGGGAAGGCUUGUUUCUACUCCACCUGGUGUCAGCCAGGGUGGUUCAAAGGCAGGGCUGGGAUCAUCAAAGGCUUGUUUACACACGUUUGGAGCCUGAGUUGAGGACACUGAAACAGCUGAGAGUUGAAACAGCUGAGAGCUGGAACAGGAAGGCCUCCUUUUUUUUUUUUAAAUUUAAUUUAAUUUAUUUAUUUGGUUGUGCCGGGUCUUAGUUGCGGCUGGCAGG